UGAGCUUUCUCUCUCAGUCGAUCUUAUGGUUUGUUCUAGAGAGAGAAAAUGGCUUAAAACCGAUACAAUUUUUGAGUAUGUGAGGUGAGUGUGGAAGGCUUUUGCGUGGCUUGAUCCUUGCUCUAGGAUCGGUUGUGGAGUGCUAGGAGUGGUGGUAAGACCUUAGUUGAUCGUUUGUAGGUUCCCUUUUCCCUCUUAGCCUUUAGCCUCUCUUUGAUCGGUUUUAGUGUUAACCUUAGGUCUUUUGCUUUUGGAGCUGUUGUGCGGUUUGUGAAGUUUUAGGUGGGUUUCCCUGGUUGUGUUGUGUGUUCUAACCGUGUGUGUGUGCAGGUGGAGGAGCAUGAAACGUUUUAGUUCUUGUGAUUGAACCACAUUUGUGGCUAUGAUUGUUUGUGUGUGUGUGUGUGUGGGAGAUUGAUAGUCCCCAUACUUGAGUGUUUACUUUCUUGCAUGCAUUAGUUGUAUUUGUGCAUUGCAUGUCUUGUGGUGGUGAACAUAUUCAUCUAGGGGUGAUGAUAUGUUAGACAUGCAUUGUGUUGUUAGGUCGUUAGUUGCAUGCAUGCAUUCGUUUGAUUAGUUGUAGCUUAUGAGUUGUUGUUGUGAAGCAUGAAGAUUUGAGUGUAACUCUCUCAUGUAGUUCAUAUGCUCAUGCAUUGUAGUGUAGUUUGGGGUUGCAAAGAGAUUUGAGUGAGACUCUCUCUUUUGCAGGGUAGUUGUUGUUUUGUUUUGGGAACUCACUGAGUGAUUUCGAUUACUCAUUCCCUCUUCUACUAUGCAGGUAACCUUAGGGGAUUGGGCGUUUGCGGGGUGCGGAGGACGAGUCCAGGCGUAGAUUUUCGUUGUUGUUUGCAAGGCGCAAGAUGUUAAUGUUUUCAUUCGUUUUGUUUUUCAUGGGUAACCGUUGACUCGUUUGUUUUUAUUUUCUGCUGCGUUUAUCUUUAAGGACUUUAGUCGAGUUCCCGACUGUAAAAUAAAUAAAAUUAUGUUUGUUUUAAUAAAAUCUCCGUAGAACGCUG
rnacentral:lncRNA from 1 species